UACGGAGGGUGCAAGCGUUAUCCGGAUUUAUUGGGUUUAAAGGGUCCGUAGGCGGACUCGUAAGUCAGUGGUGAAAUCUCAUAGCUUAACUAUGAAACUGCCAUUGAUACUGCGGGUCUUGAGUAAAGUAGAAGUGGCUGGAAUAAGUAGUGUAGCGGUGAAAUGCAUAGAUAUUACUUAGAACACCAAUUGCGAAGGCAGGUCACUAUGUUUUAACUGACGCUGAUGGACGAAAGCGUGGGAGCGAACAGG
rnacentral:rRNA from 1 species